rnacentral:lncRNA from 1 species
CUAGAUGGCUAAAAAUCGAUAGAUUCUCUCCCCGACACAACUUAGCUCUCAUACCAAAAUUGAUUCAGGCCAACAUGUGUACGUGUGGAAGCAGUAGUGUUAUGUGUGACAGUGGAUCAGAGCCACAGCUACAGAUGUAUGAUAUUUUGCAAGUCCUAACGGACUCUCCUGAUGCAGAUUAGGAACUUCGAUGACCAUAAGGUGGAAGUAUCACAGUGCCCAGCAGU